CUACGGGACGCACCAGUUACGAAACCUUUACAAUGCACGAAAGUGUGAUAGGGGAACUCCAAGUGAUUAUACGCGAGUAUAAUCUUUUGCUAAGUGUAAAUAGCUUGGCGAAUAAGGACUGGGCAAGACCCGUGCCAGCCGCCGCGGUAAUACGGGCAGUCCAAGUGGUAUUCACGAAUAUUGGGCUUAAAGCGUCCGUAGCUGGUUUAGCAAGUCUUCUGUGAAAGCCUAUUGCUUAACUUUAGGAAGUGCAGAAGAAACUGCUGGACUUGGAGGCGGGAGAGGUCAGGGGUACUUUUGGAGUAGCGGUUGAAUGCAAUAAUCCCAAAAGGACCACCGGUAGCGAAGGCGCCUGACUAGAACGCACUCGACAGUGAGGGACGAAGGCUAGGGGAGCGACAGGGAUUAGAUACCCUCGUAGUC
rnacentral:rRNA from 1 species